AUUAUACGGCGAAACUGCGAAUGGCUCAUUAAAUCAGUUAUCGUUUAUUUGAUAGUACCUUACUACUUGGAUAACCGUGGUAAUUCUAGAGCUAAUACAUGCUAAAAAUCCCGACUCACGGAGGGAUGUAUUUAUUAGAUUAAAAACCAAUGCCCUUCGGGGCUUACUGGUGAUUCAUGAUAACUUCUCGAAUCGCAUGGCCUUGCGCCGGCGAUGGUUCAUUCAAAUUUCUGCCCUAUCAACUUUCGAUGGCAGGGUCUUGGCCUGCCAUGGUUACAACGGGUAACGGAGGGUUAGGGCUCGACCCCGGAGAAGGAGCCUGAGAAACGGCUACUACAUCCAAGGAAGGCAGCAGGCGCGCAAAUUACCCAAUCCCGAUACGGGGAGGUAGUGACAAUAAAUACUGAUACAGGGCUCUUUUGGGUCUUGUAAUUGGAAUGAGUACAAUUUAAAUCCCUUAACGAGGAACAAUUGAGGGCAAUCUGGUGCCAGCAGCGCGGUAAAUUCAGCUCCAAUAGCGUAUAUUAAAGUUGUUGCAGUUAAAAAGCUCGUAGUUGAACCUUGGGCCUGGCUGGCCGGUCCGCCUCACCGCGUGCACUGGUUCGGCCGGGCCUUUCCCUCUGGGGAACCCUAUGUCAUUCACUUGGUGUAGUGGGGAACCAGGACUUUUACUGUGAAAAAAUUAGAGUGUUCAAAGCAGGCCUAUGCUCGAAUAGUACAGCAUGGAAUAAUAGAAUAGGACGCGCGGUUCUAUUUUGUUGGUUUCUAGGACCGCCGUAAUGAUUAAUAGGGACAGUCGGGGGCAUCAGUAUUCAAUUGUCAGAGGUGAAAUUCUUGGAUUUAUUGAAGACUAACUACUGCGAAAGCAUUUGCCAAGGAUGUUUUCAUUAAUCAGGAACGAAAGUUAGGGGAUCGAAGACGAUCAGAUACCGUCGUAGUCUUAACCAUAAACUAUGCCGACUAGGGAUCGGACGAUGUUAUUUUUUGACUCGUUCGGCACCUUACGAGAAAUCAAAGUCUUUGGG
rnacentral:rRNA from 1 species